rnacentral:rRNA from 1 species
CCCUUAGUAGGACGUUGCGACCUGUCAAAUAAUAUUCUAAGUAUUUGGCUAAUUUGUCUGUUUUUAGGCAAUACCGAAAGGUAUUUCCUUUAACAGUUUUAGCCAAUUUAAAUACUGGAUAAAAUUGACAGUAACGAACCAUGGUGUUGAGCCACUUGAAAUUGUAUAUAUUUUUAUAAUAUGUAUAAUGGAAAGUGUCCUUGUGUGGCUGUUUGCAAGUGGGUUGGUUAUAUAGUUUUAGUCGGAUUUCGGUCCGUCUAGCUAUUCCGCCUACUGUUGGUAAACUGUUCCUUGGACAGUGCUUAUAACACCGGUCGGCAGCGAUUCAGGUUCAGGCUCUUAUCCGACCCGUCUUGAAACACGGACCAAGGAGUUUAGCGUGUACGCAAGUCAUUGGGUGUAUAAAACCCAAAGGCGCAAUGAAAUUGAAA